UCUCCUGUACAUUAAUUGUACAGACUAAAGCAAAUAGGACACACCACAUACACCUCCUCUCCGUCUCUACCACAGCCACCUCCUCUCCAUCUCUGAACCACCGCCCUCUGUCUUCCUCUCCGUCUCGGCGAACUCCGUAGCUGGACAUUUAUUCUACUUAUCAUUCCAUCUCUUAAGAACUUCAUCUUCGGUGAAGAUAUUGGUUUUGCAAACAAAAACAAAUACUACAACAUUCGUAACACACUCACCUUCGCGCUCUGUGUCUCUCUCCAUCUCUCAAGAACACUGCUUAAUUUCAGUUGAAUAUACAAAAAGAGGAAUCGAAGAAGAAAGAAGUUCAUGUUGAAGAUAAUGUGUGCCGGCGCAGUCUCCUCGAUUCAACUGCUCGUUAUGUAUUAAUCCUUUAAAAGAGACGGAAUUGAUAUUAUACGGUGGCGAAUUUUACAAUGGCAACAAGACAUAUGUAUAUGGUGAUCUUUAUCGCUACGAUGUAGACAAGAAUGAGUGGAAAUUAAUAUCUAGCCCUAACAGCCCACCUCCUCGUAGUGCUCAUCAGGCUGUUGCUUGGAAGAACUAUCUUUAUAUAUAUGGUGGUGAAUUUACCUCUCCUAAUCAAGAGCGUUUCCACCACUACAAGGACUUCUGGAUGUUGGACUUGAAAACCAAUCAAUGGGAACAACUAAAUUAUAAGGGAUGUCCUAGUCCUCGCUCAGGUCAUCAAAUGACUAUGUGAAGGUGGAGAGUUACUAGAUCGGAUUUUGUCAAGGGGUGGAGGAUAUGCAGAGGACGACGCUAAAACCAUUAUUGUGCAGAUACUAAGAGUGGUUGCCUUCUGUCAUCUACAAGGUGUUGUGCACCGUGAUCUGAAACCGGAGGUGAAAAGCACACAGGAAUUCACUUUAUCCUCUCUGUUUGUACCGUCAGUCACUCCCAACCAAGCUACUAACUUAAUCAAUUGGCAAAACUUUCUUUUCGCGGCAAGAGACGAGGAUGCCCCAUUGAAGAUCAUAGAUUUUGGCCUAUCUGAUUUCAGCAGGCCAGUUCCUUAGACUCGCAACCUCCUGGAUUGUGUAUAGUCUAGAUAUAUCCACUGGCCAUGACUUCUGUAUCCGGAAGUCGUUUGAAGCAAAUAAAGGAAAUAUACCAUGGAAUAAAGGCAUGAAACAUACUCCAGAAACACUACGGAAGAUCAGAGAGAAGACUAGGCUUGCAAUGCAGAAUCCUAAGGUGAUGUCAUGUAAGAAUAUUGUUACACAAUAACUGCAAAAAACAUGAAAAUCAUAUAUACUAUUCAAUUUUGCUGAGAAGAACUAAUUUGCCAAAUUACUGAGAAGAACUAAUUUGCUAAAUCUUGAUAAUACUAUCUGUUACUGGACUCUUCAAUUUUGCCGUUGCACUUCAGUUCAGAAUAGUACAGGACAUGAAUGUGGUUUGUGGUAUGAUCGGCACGAAUAAGGAACUAGUCUGGGUACCCAUAUCCUGCAUCCUUUAGUAACAUAGUGUUUACUUAAUGUAAUGGCAUGAAAUCCAUGACAAUGGAUUAGCAUUUUACAGUAGUAAAAAUGAAUGUUGUUCUUCCCAUAUUAUAUAACACAUCUACUAGAGUUACAAAAAUCUACAUGGAGAUGGAAUGGAAAAGGCAGCUUAGCAUCUCAGCCAGCACAGAAAUAUUCCUAAGCCUGAAGCUCAUUCACAACUUUGGCGCCUCCAUCUAAUCUCCUUCCGAGUUUGCUGUAUUUUUCUGGAGUUGGAAACACAAACUUGACAUCUGAUGUAGCAACAAUUGGCAUCCAUUCUCUGGUUUAGGGUCCAAUAGUAGUUCUUGCAUCUGAGAACAGAGCGACAAGGCUUUUUGGUCGCUGGUACAAGAUUCAGCAACCAACUUGAGAAAUUUGCAGCUCUGAUCUUGACAGUUUGGUUUCUAUAUUUGGUUUCUGCAACUAGGACACUUUGUAUUUUAAUUGCUUAAAAAGCUUUAGAAUAUAAUUUAUGGUGAGAUCUCGAUCGAGAUGUUUGUUAAUGAUUUUGAACUCUGCUCCUAAUCAAGGAUUAGAUCGACCU